GCCCGGAUGGUGGAAUUGGCAGACACAAAGGACUUAAAAUCCUUUGGCAGCAAUAGCCGUGCGGGUUCGAUCCCCGCUCCGGGCACCA
rnacentral:tRNA from 1 species